ensembl:lncRNA
UGAAGAUAAGACUGUUUGGAUCCUCACGUUCUUUCCUGGACUGCCUGGCUAAUGGACUCGGUUUCUGUUAUGUCCUUUGACUGGAAACUCCCAGAGCCACGCCUGGAGGUUGAGCUCCAUGUAACAUCUGUUCUGGGAUGGUGCUGGAGCAGGUCACAUUUUGAAGCUUUUCUGUGUAAUUAUUAGAGACUGAAAACUUCUUUAAAAACAAAAGUCCAGAUGAUUCUGUGUUCCUAAGACUCUAUGAGCAAGAACAUCAGCAUCCUUGUUGCCCCAAAAUGAAGAAAAGUUUUCAAGAACAUCUAAAUAUUAUCUAACACCUGAGAGGAUGUCAAGGAGACGAAGUCAAUCUCAUCACAGUGGAAAGUCAAGAGAUUAUGGACAUGUGUUGAAACAAGAAAUUGUCAAAUGGGAUGUGAGAAAAAGCUUUUUCACCACAAGGACAGUGGAACAGAGGAAGAGGCUGCCCAGUGAAGAUUCUUUCCAGUGCAGUGGCUGUACUGCUAGUUGCAUAAACUUCUUACUGAAACUUGAAGAGAAAGGUUGAAGGAUUUAAGCUCCUGGGAAAAUCUGGCUGCUAUUCAAAAGGAGGGUUCAACCAUGUUAAGACUUUCUCUCCAUGAGGCAUGAAAUGUGGGCUGCCCCCAGGUACGUACUUCAGCAGACAGCAGCUACUGCUAAAUAUGGGCACCCAGCUCUGCUGCCUGCCACCCUUCCUCUUCAGCAUGAUGAAUGCAGAACUGAUGUCUGAACAAUGGCUUAUCUUCAAAGUGGGGAUGGUUGCCCUCCCACACCAUCCCCUGCAUUGUUUAUAGCUGAUUGUUUAUAGUCCUGUGGUUAAAGCGUUUCCUGGGAGAUGUGGUUUUGCUUGCCUGCAAGACAGGAGCAUAUUACACUUACUUCAGCUUCCUAAUUGCCACUCAUCUAUUGUGUGAAAAAGGGAGGAAGAGAAUAAAUCCCAAUGGACUCAUAAAGAAAGGCAGCCACGUCUACAGAGGCCCUGAGAGUGUCUCCUGAGCAGCUUUCAGGGGACUGAGACUGACGUACUGCCGAGAAGGUGUUCCUGCCACUGAGAGCUCUUGGGAUGCUGUAGUGGUGCCUCCUCUGGACUGCUCAGGCACUUAAGGUCACAGUACGACAUCCACGGAGUUAAGGCAGAUGAGGUAACACUAGGUCAGAUGAGCUCAAGAUGCAGUUUUGACCCUUGGUAUUCAGUUCCUGGUACUUCAGACAUUUGUGAUUUUUUGCAUCUAGCCUCUUGAUAUAAUUGCCAUCUGAAGCAGGGAAGUAUUGGGGAGGGAAGUGCUGGAAAACAUUGGAAAUGCUGGGAAAUGUUGGAAAGAGAAGUGGAUGCACACUAAUACCUGAAGGUGUGUGGGUCAGUCUCCUGCUGACUUUAGGACUCUUGGAUGUCUCAGCUUAUUUACAUUGUGCUUGUGUACUCCUAAUCUUCUUCUAGUGUGACUCUACAUGAGAGGUUCAGUAAUGCAAACAGGGAAAGGUUUGGGGCAUCAUGCUGCCUUGGUGUUGCAACAAGACAUUUUUACCCCUCCUGAAAACCAAUGCAUAAUAUCAGGUCAAGGAGCCUGCCAGCUUUGCAUUCCACCCCCUUUGGUGAAUUUGGGAAUUGCUGGUCUAAACCUUUGUUCAUCAUCUAAUUUGUGGAACUGCAAAAAAGGCAAACUUCACACAGAUGCAGGCUUUCCAGACUUCCGUUAUUAUAAUAUGGGAUUUCCUGUACUGUCCAUUCAAACACUAUGUCCUUUAUAAAAAGCACACAGGAGGUAAUUUUUUCCAUAUUUUUCUUGUUUGGCUUCUAUCUGUUCUUCCCAGGCUGCGGCCCUGAGAACAUAAGUGUUUAGAGUGCAGGAGAGAGGGCUCCAGCAUUCCUCUUUUAAUAUUUAGUAUUUUAAAUGUUGCAUCAUUAUGCAUCCACCUUAAAAGAUUUUACCCCAGUAAGUUUCAGUUGAACUUCACUAAUAGACCAAAAGAAAAAAAAAAAAAAAAAAGAGGGUUUCUGUAAUCAGUGAAACUUUCCAUGGACAUUACAUAAGUUAAUAUUUUCUUACUCCUGCCUGAUUCAUUGUUGUUUUUAUUUUUCUUUUUAACUCUCCUGCAAUAUAAAAGCUUUUCUGAGGGGCAGAAAGACCCAGGUUCAUUCCUGUUCUAUGAUGUUGCAUUGAAGUAGGACCUGAGUGAUUCUUUUGCUCUACUGGCAUAUGUAUUCUUUGGUCCAUGGUGAGGUACAUGCCAUGAACUCGAAGUCCAUUACAUUUUAGUGCUUAUUAUCUUCCUUAAGAAGCUAUUGAAAUCCAGUGUAUUAAGUAAACUGGGACUGAAUGGAGUGAACAGGAACAUCUGCAUGUCUUAUGUUAUGACUCCCCUAGCAGUUAUCUACUGUGCUAUAUAGCUUAGAAAAUUCUCCCAAGCAUAUAGAUGGUGGAGAUCCAACAAGCUGGAACUGCUGGCUACAGCUGAAGUUUCAACAACUCAUUCUAUCUACAGCUGCCUUCAUCUGUUGCUGGCUCUAGGGAAGAAUACCAAGCAUCUUUAGAUUUCACUUGCUGAAGGAGGGACAGAAUUCCAAAGGAUACGAAACCAGAAAGAGACCAGAAAAAUAAAAUACAGAAAUAAAUUAUUAAAAAACAAACAAACAAACAAAAAAAGAAUAAAAAAAGAAGAGGAAAUAUAAAUUCUAUGAGAAGACUGCAGAUGCAAAGUUUUAGAAUAGAAAAGUCAGUGAUGCCUUUUAAGUCUGUGGUGGGAUUCAUUGCAUGAAACUGUAUUUACUUUUGCAGAGUGAUCUUGAGUUCAGCCACCAUACUACAGUCUACCACUGUCAGAGAUAGAUUUAAACAUUUAUGCUAUUUGAGAAAAUGUGCUAACUUCAUGCAGAUAGAACUAUCGUGAUAGCGCUGAUCAACAAACCACAAAUACGUAUUUAAAACCAAAUUGUGCUCUCAUUUUUCCUCAGAACUUUAAAUAUUGUCUUUAGUUUUUGUGAAAAUACCUUACCUCAUGAAAGGAAAUAACUCACAAGUUUCUCAACCAGAAUGACAGCUGUCAAUUUGCUCAGUUUGGUGUUACUUUGUUGAUAGAUGUAUUAGAUCAGAGAGGGAGUCUCUAACUGUGCAGUCCUGUUUUAUUUGUAAAACAAAGCACAGUACUGAAAGGUAUUAGAGAGAGGAUUAUCAGGUUAAAUUGUACAUCAGUAUCAUUUGGCUGUCACUUCAGCUACUGCACCGCUCAUCCUACUCCUUUCACUGCACAAGAUUAGUCCAGGGAAUUGUAACCAUUUUCCCUCUGUUUCUUCAUUCUCCUCUGAUAAACUUCAUAUGAAUAAUAUUAAAUUAGCUUUAACAUUAAGUACUAACUGAUAAAUGAAGGCUGAAUUAGUUGGCUUUGAAUGAAAACCUUUGGGGUUUCAUCAGUCAGAAAAAUACAUGUCUUAUAUUGAUUUGUAGAACAAGGUGAUGCGUAUAUUCCAUUGCAUCUUUCCUGGCAACGAGUUUUACUGCUCCAUUCAGGACUUAUAUAUCUGUGUAUGUUGGGGAUGGGGAUGGCCAUGGAGUAAAUCUUUGUCUUCUUCUCUAUUUCCAG